AACCCAGUGUGACUCGUCACACUAUCAUUAACUGAAUCCAUAGGUUAAUGAGGCGAACCGGGGGAACUGAAACAUCUAAGUACCCCGAGGAAAAGAAAUCAACCGAGAUUCCCCCAGUAGCGGCGAGCGAACGGGGAGGAGCCCAGAGCCUGAAUCAGCAUGUGUGUUAGUGGAAGCGUCUGGAAAGGCGCGCGAUACAGGGUGACAGCCCCGUACACAAAAGCGCAUGUGCUGUGAGCUCGAUGAGUAGGGCGGGACACGUGGUAUCCUGUCUGAAUAUGGGGGGACCAUCCUCCAAGGCUAAAUACUCCUGACUGACCGAUAGUGAACCAGUACCGUGAGGGAAAGGCGAAAAGAACCCCGGCGAGGGGAGUGAAAAAGAACCUGAAACCGUGUACGUACAAGCAGUGGGAGCACCCUUUGGGUGUGACUGCGUACCUUUUGUAUAAUGGGUCAGCGACUUAUAUUCUGUAGCAAGGUUAACCGAAUAGGGGAGCCGGAGGGAAACCGAGUCUUAACCGGGCGUUAAGUUGCAGGGUAUAGACCCGAAACCCGGUGAUCUAGCCAUGGGCAGGUUGAAGGUUGGGUAACACUAACUGGAGGACCGAACCGACUAAUGUUGAAAAAUUAGCGGAUGACCUGUGGCUGGGGGUGAAAGGCCAAUCAAACCGGGAGAUAGCUGGUUCUCCCCGAAAGCUAUUUAGGUAGCGCCUCGUGAAUUCAUCUCCGGGGGUAGAGCACUGUUUCGGCUAGGGGGCCAUCCCGGCUUACCAACCCGAUGCAAACUGCGAAUACCGGAGAAUGUUAUCACGGGAGACACACGGCGGGUGCUAACGUCCGUCGUGAAGAGGGAAACAACCCAGACCGCCAGCUAAGGUCCCAAAGUCAUGGUUAAGUGGGAAACGAUGUGGGAAGGCCCAGACAGCCAGGAUGUUGGCUUAGAAGCAGCCAUCAUUUAAAGAAAGCGUAAUAGCUCACUGGUCGAGUCGGCCUGCGCGGAAGAUGUAACGGGGCUAAACCAUGCACCGAAGCUGCGGCAGCGACACUGUGUGUUGUUGGGUA
rnacentral:rRNA from 3 species